rnacentral:rRNA from 1 species
AGAGAGACGCUGGCGGCGUGCCUAAUACAUGCAAGUCGAGCGGAUUUGUUCCUUCGGGGACAAGUUAGCGGCGGACGGGUGAGUAACACGUAGGUAACCUGCCUAUAAGAUCGGGAUAACUAUCGGAAACGAUAGCUAAGACCGGAUAAUUGGUUUUCUCGCAUGAGAGAACUAUGAAACACGGAGCAAUCUGUGGCUUAUAGAUGGGCCUGCGGCGCAUUAGCUAGUUGGUAGGGUAAUGGCCUACCAAGGCGACGAUGCGUAGCCGACCUGAGAGGGUGAACGGCCACACUGGGACUGAGACACGGCCCAGACUCCUACGGGAGGCAGCAGUAGGGAAUCUUCCGCAAUGGACGCAAGUCUGACGGAGCAACGCCGCGUGAGUGAUGAAGGUUUUCGGAUCGUAAAGCUCUGUUGCCCUAGACGAAUAGCAAGGCGAGUAACUGCGCUUUGUGUGACGGUAUAGGAGAAGAAAGCCCCGGCUAACUACGUG